rnacentral:rRNA from 1 species
UGCUCCUUUGACGUUAGCGGCGGACGGGUGAGUAACACGUGGGUAACCUACCUAUAAGACUGGGAUAACUUCGGGAAACCGGAGCUAAUACCGGAUAACAUUUGGAACCGCAUGGUUCUAAAGUGAAAGAUGGUUUUGCUAUCACUUAUAGAUGGACCCGCGCCGUAUUAGCUAGUUGGUAAGGUAACGGCUUACCAAGGCACCGAUACGUAGCCGACCUGAGAGGGUGAUCGGCCACACUGGAACUGAGACACGGUCCAGACUCCUACGGGAGGCAGCAGUAGGGAAUCUUCCGCAAUGGGCGAAAGCCUGACGGAGCAACGCCGCGUGAGUGAUGAAGGGCUUCGGCUCGUAAAACUCUGUUAUUAGGGAAGAACAAGUGUGUAAGUAACUGUGCACGUCUUGACGGUACCU